AUACGUAGGUGGCGAGCGUUGUCCGGAAUUACUGGGUGUAAAGGGAGCGCAGGCGGGGGAGCAAGUCAGCUGUGAAAUGCAUGGGCUUAACCGAUGAACUGCAGUUGAAACUGUUCUUCUUGAGUGAAGUAGAGGUUGGCGGAAUUCCGAGUGUAGCGGUGAAAUGCGUAGAUAUUCGGAGGAACACCGGUGGCGAAGGCGGCCAACUGGGCUUUUACUGACGCUGAGGCUCGAAAGUGUGGGGAGCAAACAGGAUUAGAUACCCUGGUAGUCCACACUGUAAACGAUGAUUGCUAGGUGUGGGGGGUCUGACCCCUUCUGUGCCGCAGCUAACGCAAUAAGCAAUCCACCUGGGGAGUACGGCCGCAAGGCUGAAACUCAAAGGAAUUGACGGGG
rnacentral:rRNA from 1 species